rnacentral:rRNA from 1 species
CAGCAGCCGCGGUAAGACAGAGGAUGCAAGCGUUAUCUGGAAUGAUUGGGCGUAAAGCGUCUGUAGGUGGCUUUUCAGGUCCGCCGUCAAAUCCCAGGGCUCAACCCUGGACAGGCGGUGGAAACUACCAAGCUGGAGUACGGUAGGGGCAGAGGGAAUUUCCAGUGGAGCGGUGAAAUGCGUUGAGAUCGAAAAGAACACCAACAGCGAAAGCACUCUGCUGGGACGACACUGACACUAAGAGACGAAAGCUAGGGGAGCAAAUGGGAUUAGAUACCCCAGUAGUCCCUGUCUCUUAUAC